rnacentral:rRNA from 1 species
UACAGAGGUCUCAAGCGUUGUUCGGAUUCAUUGGGCGUAAAGGGUGCGUAGGCGGCGCGGUAAGUCGGGUGUGAAAUCUCGGGGCUUAACUCCGAAACUGCAUUCGAUACUACCGUGCUUGAGGACUGGAGAGGAGACUGGAAUUUACGGUGUAGCGGUGAAAUGCGUAGAUAUCGUAAGGAAGACCAGUGGCGAAGGCGGGUCUCUGGACAGUUCCUGACGCUGAGGCACGAAGGACAGGGGAGCAAACGGG